CCUACGGGAGGCAGCAGUAGGGAAUCUUGCGCAAUGGGCGAAAGCCUGACGCAGCCAUGCCGCGUGAAUGAUGAAGGUCUUAGGAUUGUAAAAUUCUUUCACCGGGGAAGAUAAUGACGGUACCCGGAGAAGAAGCCCCGGCUAACUUCGUGCCAGCAGCCGCGGUAAUACGAAGGGGGCUAGCGUUGCUCGGAAUUACUGGGCGUAAAGGGCGCGUAGGCGGAUAGUUUAGUCAGAGGUGAAAGCCCAGGGCUCAACCUUGGAACUGCCUUUGAUACUGGCUAUCUUGAGUUCGGGAGAGGUGAGUGGAAUGCCGAGUGUAGAGGUGAAAUUCGUAGAUAUUCGGCGGAACACCAGUGGCGAAGGCGACUCACUGGCCCGAUACUGACGCUGAGGCGCGAAAGCGUGGGGAGCAAACAGGAUUAGAUACCCUGGUAGUCCACGCUGUAAACGAUGAGUGCUAGUUGUCGGCAUGCAUGCAUGUCGGUGACGCAGCUAACGCAUUAAGCACUCCGCCUGGGGAGUACGGUCGCAAGAUUAAAACUCAAAGGAAUUGACGG
rnacentral:rRNA from 1 species